rnacentral:tRNA from 1 species
ACUUCUAUAGGAGAAUAGUAAUCCAUUGGUUUUAGGAACCAAAAACCUUGGUGCAAUUCCAAGUAAAAGUA